AGAGACAGCAGUCGCCGCGGGAAUACGAAGGGUGCAAGCGUUAAUCGGAAUUACUGGGCGUAAAGCGUGCGUAGGCGGUUUGUUAAGUCUGCUGUGAAAUCCCCGGGCUCAACCUGGGAAUGGCAGUGGAUACUGGCAAGCUAGAGUGUGUCAGAGGAUGGUGGAAUUCCCGGUGUAGCGGUGAAAUGCGUAGAGAUCGGGAGGAACAUCAGUGGCGAAGGCGGCCAUCUGGGACAACACUGACGCUGAGGCACGAAAGCGUGGGGAGCAAACAGGAUUAGAUACCCCUGUAGUCCCUGUCUCUUAUAA
rnacentral:rRNA from 1 species